rnacentral:lncRNA from 1 species
UGCUGAAGCAUUUCCACUAUUUUUUAUUCGAUAAUCUCUGCCGUUCAUUUCUUCCUCAUUUUCCACGUGACACAAUCUAACGAUGGCAAGUCAUUCGAGUCUAAUUUGACGGCGUCUGUUCGAUUCUUUUCUUUUACUUGUAUUUUCAGCAUCGUCGUCCUUCAAUAAAACAAAGGUACAGCACAUAACUAAAUAAGAAAAAGGGAUAAUAUUUAAGAAACUGCCACGCGGCACAUUUAACGCUGGUAGUAGUAUUUUGGUCGGCUACGAAAUUUGGUUGUUUUUUUUGGACCGAAGAAAUUUACUUGUUAUAUUUCUCCAAAAUUUGUGGAGGCGAGCGGUUUCUGUACAAGUUCAGAUUUGAAAGAUUUUAGGUCUAAGGUGAAUUGACGGAAAUGACCCCUGUGUUGCAAUAGGUGCACGGAGGAGCAAAUGGAGAAAUACGGGAUUCACCUGCUAGCUUUGUCACACGUUUACUCGGUCACGCAGCUGAAGCAGAGGUGCGCCAGAGGAGUCAGUCAGCGGCUGACGAUUGAGAACGUGGUGGACGAGCUUCAGCUCGCCAGGCUCUGCGACGCACCUGAUCUUUACCUCAAGUGCAUG